GGCGGCACGCCUAACACAUGCAAGUCGAACGAAGUAGCAAUACUUAGUGGCAGACGGGUGAGUAACAUGUGGGUAUCUGCCCUUUGGCCUGGAAUAACACGAGGAAACUUGUGCUAAUACCGGAUAAGUCCUAACGGAGAAAGUUUUAAUGCCAAAAGAUGAGCCCGCAUUUGAUUAGCUAGUUGGUAAGGUAAUGGCUUACCAAGGCAACGAUCAAUAGCUGAUUUGAGAGGAUGAUCAGCCACAUUGGGACUGAGACACGGCCCAGACUCC
rnacentral:rRNA from 1 species